rnacentral:rRNA from 1 species
UGGGGUAUAUUGCACAAUGGGCGCAAGCCUGAUGCAGCCAUGCCGCGUGUGUGAAGAAGGCCUUCGGGUUGUAAAGCACUUUCAGCGGGGAGGAAGGCGUUAAGGUUAAUAACCUUGGCGAUUGACGUUACCCGCAGAAGAAGCACCGGCUAACUCCGUGCCAGCAGCCGCGGUAAUACGGAGGGUGCAAGCGUUAAUCGGAAUUACUGGGCGUAAAGCGCACGCAGGCGGUCUGUCAAGUCGGAUGUGAAAUCCCCGGGCUCAACCUGGGAACUGCAUUCGAAACUGGCAGGCUAGAGUCUUGUAGAGGGGGGUAGAAUUCCAGGUGUAGCGGUGAAAUGCGUAGAGAUCUGGAGGAAUACCGGUGGCGAAGGCGGCCCCCUGGACAAAGACUGACGCUCAGGUGCGAAAGCGUGGGGAGCAAACAGG